rnacentral:misc_RNA from 1 species
UACAAACCUCGCGUUAUACGGUUUCUCUGCUUUUGAUCACUGUUUUCUUCAAGCGACGGCAGUUAACAGCAAAGAAUGGGUCCUGAGACGAUUUUUCCCUUUUGCACGUGAUUUAUUUCAUUUCAUAUGGUGUCAAUUCAAAGUACCAGAUGAGGAGAUGUAUGACAGGGAGGAUCCAAAACAAUCUUUGUUCACCGAAGAAAUUGGAAGAGCUAUUGUUGGUACGCAGAUAAUUUUCAGAGACGAAUUUGAGCUUAUUUUCCAGAAUCACGAAUCUCAGAGAAUGGGAGAAGACGGUUUCAAUAAAUUUGUGAACGAAUGUAUUGUUGCUCUCGUACCAGCUGGCGAUAUUAUUGAUAGAACAGUAGCUUCGAUUAUGAUUUACGCUGAAUUUACAUUGUAUCAGCGUAACAUAGGUAACGAAGACUAUUUUCAGUAUUUACAGAGAACACCCAAAUGGUGGUCAAAUUAUUUCCAAAUUCACUUGUAUGAGACCUUUGAUGCUGAGCAAGGCUGGGCGAAAUUACGUAUAAAAGGAGAAGUAUGGAAUCACGUGUUCGUGAAUGAUAAUCUAGACAAUAUUCGUUUCUACGUUAAUUGUUCUCCUCAAUACCGAGAAGAGUUACGUUAUUUUAAAAACUUGUAUUUACCAGGCUAUAAGGCAGGAAUCCAGAAAUUCUUACGUCGUAAACCUCGGGAAUCGCCCAGUGCUCGGGAAUCGCCCAGUGCUCGGGAAUCGCCCAGUGCUCGGGAAUCGCCCAGUGCUCGGGAAUCGCCCAGUGCUCGGGAAUCGCCCAGUGCUCGGGAAUCUUCCAGUAGGGUUGAAAUAACCGCGGAGGACUAGCUUUCGAUGCAAUAUUCAGUGAACAUGUUACACCAGUAUCUAUAUAGUGCCACUGCGUUACUGUGGUUUGUAAGAGUCUCAAAAGUUGUCAUCAAUUAAAGUUUCAAUAUCUUGCGUGAUGUGAUAUAUCGGAGCCUCGAAAAAGAAUUAGAUAUUUUUCAAUGGAUAAUAAUGCACAUUUCUGACUGCUUUGCAAGAAUGUAUUCCAAUAAAUGAUGAAACCGAAUCACAACAAACGAGGCUGAAAGUAUGUUCCGAUCC